ensembl:lncRNA
AUGGGCCCCCUCCACCAAGAGAUGGUUUCAGACCUUCAUUUGGUGGGAAACCCGGCAGCAGAUGAGGAUGUCCAAGCUAAUGAGGGACCUUCUGACAUUAGGGGACCUCAUAAGUUUCCAGGAAGCCAUAACAGAACAAGAGGACCUAGCAAUCAUAACAGAACUGCACCAAACCCAGGGAAGCAUAACGAAACCUCCUCAGAGGAAUUUGAGCAUCACCCAGAUUCCUCCAAUCGCCAUGGUCCACAGAGGAUCAGUAGAUCCAACAAUAAAAGACAGAACUCUAAGAAGUCCAGUGGUGCAGACGACAAAGGUCCCUUGAAAAGAAAACCAGAGAAGUUUCAAAAUGAGCUCCAUGACAGAUCAACAGAGGAACCAGACGAGGAUGACCAAGGUAAUGAGGGACCUUCUGACAUUAGGGGACCUCAUAAGUUUCCAGGAAGCCAUAACAGGACAAGAGGACCUCAUAAGUUUCCAGGAAGCCAUAACAGAACUGCAUCAAGCCCAGGAAACCAUAAUGAAACCUCCUCAGAGGAAUUUGAGCAUCACAGAGGAUCCUCCCAUCACCCUGGGGCCAAGGUCAAGGAUGAACGGGGUGAAUCAGGACCACAGAGGAUCAGUAGAUCCAUCAAUAAAAGCCAGAAUUCCAAGCUCCAUGACAGAUCAACAGAGGAACCAGACGAGGAUGACCAAGCUAAUGAGGGACCUUCUGACAUUAGGGGACCUCAUAAGUUUCCAGGAAGCCAUAACAGGACAAGAGGACCUCAUAAGUUUCCAGGAAGCCAUAACAGAACUGCAUCAAGCCCAGGAAACCAUAAUGAAACCUCCUCAGAGGAAUUUGAGCAUCACAGAGGAUCCUCCCAUCACCAUGGGCCCAAGGUCAAGGAUGAAUGGGCUGAAUCAGGGCCACAGAGGAUCAGUAGAUCCAACAAUAAAAGCCAGAAUUCCAAGAAGUCCAGUGGUUCAGAUGACAAACGUCCCUUGAAAAGAAAACAGGAGAAGUUUCAAAAUGAUCUCCAUGACAGAACAACAGAAGCACCAGACAAGGAUGACCAAGCUAAUGAGGGACCGUCGGACAUUAGGGGACCUCAUAAGUUUCCAGGAAGCCAUAACAGAACAAGAGGACCUACUGAGCUUCCAGGAAGCCCUAACAGAACUGCAUCAAGCUCAGAGGAAUUUGAGCAUCACCAUGGGCCCAAGGUCAAGGAUCAAUGGGAUGAAUUAGGACCACAGAGAAUCAGUAGUUCCAAUCAAAAGAACCAGAUUUUCAAGAAGCCCAAUGGUGCAGAUGGCAAAGGUCCUUUGGAAUUUCUUCCAGAGAAGUUUCAAAAUGAGAUUCGGGAGUUCAUUCCACUAAUUUGGGGUGAUAAUGUAACGGUUGAGAAUAUCACCCGCUUGCAUCUGAAGGAGGGUGAAAACAUUUUUCUGCUUCCAUUGGAUGCAAUGCAGCCACCCCCACCAAAGCGGGGAAACAGAGCUCCUGAGGAGAUGGUAAGAAACAUUUAUUCUAAUUUGCUGCACUGAUUUUGUUGAGCCAGAUCUAAACAGUCCUCUUCAUUCGUAUCAGUACUGGCUUCCAAACCGAGGCGCUCAGGUAAAAAAAAAAAAUUAAAACAUAUCUUACAAUAGACAAAAAUGUUAUUUAAAAACAAAUAAUUUAAUUGAUUUUAUUUUCAGCCUUACAUGAACUUGAUUUUCAACCCAAGCGCCACG